AAGUCGUAACAAGGUUUCCGUAGGUGAACCUGCGGAAGGAUCAUUAAUGGGUUCUUUUUUUAUUAUGUUGUUUGAGUGUCUGAUGUUGUGGGGAUAUUUUUGUCCCCGCGCUAGUCAACGUGAUCUUUAUUCUAGUCUGACUUUUAUAAAAAAAAAAUAUAAAAGACAACUUUUAGCAACGGAUCUCUUGGCUCUC
rnacentral:misc_RNA from 1 species